GAAUUCUAGAAGGUCCUACUGCAGUGCAAGAGGCAUUACUGCAGGUAUAAAAUCAAAGGCCCUUUCCUCAAGAGUAAUUCCAGCUGGAAAAGGACAGCCUUCCUCAAUAUCUCCUACCCAGAGGUUCCACCCUGUGCUUCCCAUGCCCUGUCCAUGCCCGGCCUGCCCAAAGCACAGCCACCCCAGACCUCUGCUGGAUUAUCUGUGAGGCCCAUAUAAGGUGCCACUGGCAGAAAUUGGGAGACAUGGCAAACUUCCUUGGGAACCUCUGAGAGAGAAGAGCUGCAAAUAAAGGUAGUAAAAAAGUUCA
rnacentral:lncRNA from 1 species